CCCUUAGAUGUUCUGGGCAGCACGCGCGCUACAAUGGUCUUCGCAAACGGAUGCAUUCUCGAAGGAGAAUGCCAAUCUUGGAAUCUAUGCCUUGGUCGGGACAGUUGCUUGCAAUUUUUCGACUCGAACCAGGAAUUCCUUGUAAUCGUGAUUCAUCACAUCACGAUGAAUACGUCCCUGCCCUUUGUACACACCGCCCGUCGCUCCUACCGAUCGAAGAGUUAGGUGAAUUGUUUUGAUCGAUAAGAUUUGACUAUGGUCAACUCUCGUUGUGAAAUUCUGUGAAUCUGACUGUUUAGAGGAAGGAUAAGUCGUAACA
rnacentral:rRNA from 1 species